AAAAGUAAUUGUGUAUUGGAAUAGAACCUAGUAGGCACGUUUUAGAGAAACCGAUGGUUGCUCUAUAUUAGGCACAGGACCAGUUAAGAUCCGGCAGCCUCAGGGCCCUCGAGCUUGACCCCGGAAAUCCAUUUGAUUUUGUAAUGCUAACAACUCAUAUAGAGUUGUGACGUGCUCAAUUUUGCCGAGUAGAGAGGCCAACGGGCUUCACAUCUACUAAGUCCAUUAUCCAACAUCCAACCACUUUAAUGCCCCACUUGGUUACAAGCCCACGUUACAAGGCUCGGCAAUUCAAAUAUGUUAGCUAAUUGUUUUUAUACUCUAAUUAAUCUUUUUGUUUCUCAGUGUGGGAAAAUAACAAUAUGCUGAUGGCUUCGGUUGGUGUGCCAAAAUGUUCUCUCAACAUAAAAAAAUAAAAUAAAAUAAAAGCAGCCUGGUGCAUUAAGCUUCCGCUAUGCACGGGGUCCGGAAAAGGGCCGGACCACAAGAAUCUAUUGUGCACAAUCAUAUCAUGCAUUUCGCGGGCAACAACUUUACUAGUUACGCCAAGGCUCCCCUUCAAAAAAGGAAAAUAAAAAGCACAUUGAGAUACCUCUCAAUUUUUUUCAUAUUUAGUUGGAAAAAAAUUAAAAGAUGUUUGAUUCACAACAGCAGAUUAUUAAGCACUUUUUAGGAAAAUAAGAUUCAUACAAUUCACCGAAGUUUUUAUUUUCAUUUAUUCCCGUUUUUGUUUGUUCUUCUUUUGGAGAAAAAAAUAGAGAUAGGAACGAAUAAUAGCUUAAAGAAAUUAAAUCUAUUUCCUAUUAGCGUCAAUUUGACAAUUGAAUCCAAUUUACAGUUUCACGUGUCUUUACAAUGGUGCCUAUGAAAACUAGCCUGAAUGCCGAGUCUUUCUCUUCCAUCAACUCUAUGUUGUCAUAACCUAUAAGAUAAGGCCAAAACUUGACUUUACUAAAUAAGCAAGAAAGGUCCUUUAUAUCUUAUUAAUCAAGCGCUCUAGCUGCAAUCAAAAAAACAGCUAACUAGAAAUUGAAAGUAUUUCGAAAAAUGUUAGCUACCUUCUUACUGAUAGCACAACGAGGUGCUGGCACUCAUGAAUUAUAAUCGUUGGCACGUCGCUCGGCUUCUUGGCUCACGAUUCAGGACCCUGAAGUGUGAUGAGCUUAUCAUUUUUAUGAAGAUUUCACAUGAAAAAAUAUUGAAAAGGUUUCAGACAAAUUACUGAUGUGAAACAAAGAGAAGAAACGAGAAAAUUGUAAAACAAGAUAAAAGGUGGGAGAAAACUGUGAGACUAGAUAAGAAAAGAGCUUUUUUAUGUAAGUUUAACAAUUGAAUAUUCUACAUUAUUUUCCUACUCAAAUAUAAUAAAUCUGGAAAUAUUAUUAUAACACUUAUAAUAGGGAUUAAACAUAUAUUCGGGGUUAUUAAAUUCGUGCUUCAUUAUAUGAUGAUUUAUUGAAGGAAUUUCAUUUGUCAUAUUGAAUGCAUAAUCUAUGUUUUUAGAGAUUAUUCUCUGUGAUUAAUUAAUUUCUUGCUGAGUAAUAUUUAGUUGAAUGAGAGUUUCCAAAACAUGAGUCAUUUUGAAGGUUUAAACCAUAUCUUCUAAUAUAUUGAACUUUUCCUCUAGUGAGAUAUCUCGUAGUUUAAAUUCUCUUUUCGUCGUUCUAACUUAUGUUUUAAAAUAAAUAAUCACUUGAUCAUAUUCUCAAUUUUCAAUUUCUCAUAUAAACCGAUAAAAUUGGACAGAAUUAUUAACUAAGAAAAAAAAUCUGACUUUGUAAACUUCUUCAUUCUUCAAUCAUUCAUGGCUUCAGAUUCAGUUAUCUCACCAAAGCUUAUGCAUUAGCACAACAAUAAAGCUAAAAUCAAGUCUUUUUUGGGGGGUUUUCUGCGUCAAGUUUUGGCAAUGUUUUCAAUAGCUACUAGGAAACACAACUUUUACUUUUUUUCAUCUGUUUGUUGUUUCUUGGCAGGAAAGAGUCGUUCAAUUAGAGGGAAUUUUCUUUUGGGAAUCAAAAGAGAAGAACGACGCGAUCAACAGAUUUACACUGCCGCUGAAAAUCCUAGCUAAUAACCAGAACAAAAACCAGGUAAAAUAAGAAAGAAAACUUCUGUUGCUGGUUGCCUAACUGUCGGACAUGCCCUGUAGCGAUACAUGCAGAACCCUGUACAUAAACCUGACCACAACCAUACAUGCAUAUAGUAACAAUAAAGCUAUAAGAAACUGCCUUAGAAUAAAAAUCAUCUUCUGGCAGUUGAAAUUCUCAUUUGCACAAUAUAAAUCAAAGUAAAAUGAUGACAUUACCAUAUAAUGCUCGUUUUGAGCCCCCUUUAUGCUGGCCUUCUAAGUUUGGCUAGUUCACCCAAGACAUUCUCGAGGGGAACUGUAACGAUCCGACCGGUCGUUUUGAGCUUUUGCACUUUGCUCACCAGUUUCCGGGUAUGACUUGCCCCGUGUGAUGUAUUAUGACUUAUGUAAAUCGUUGGUUUUGAUUUUCAAGGUAAUCAGAACGAAUUUGGAAGAAUAGUUCUCAGUUUGAAGUUUGAAAUUUGAAAGGUUUGACCGAGAUUUGACUUGUUUGUAUAUGAUCUCGGAUAGGAAUUUUUAUGAUUUGGUUAGCUCCGUUAGGUGAUUUGGGACUUAGGAGCAUGAUCGAAAUGCAUUUUGGAAGUCCGUGGAAGGUUUAGGUUUGAAUUGGCGAAAUUGAGAUUUUGGCGUUUUCCGGUUGAUAGGUGAGAUUUUGAUAUAGGGAUUGGAAUGGAAUUUCGGAAGUUGCAGUAGCUCCGUUGUGUUAUUUGUGACAUGUGUGCAAAAUUUCAGGUCAUUCGGACGUGGUUUGGUUGUGUUUUUUAUCAAAAGCAUAAUUUUGGAAGUUCUUGAAAUUCUUAGGCUUGAAUCCGAUGUGAUUUUGGUGUUUUGAUGUUGUUUUGAGCGUUACGAAGGUUGGAACAAGUUUGAAUGAAGUCAUGGAAUAUGUUAGCAUGUUUGGUUGAGGUCCCGAGGGACUCAGGUGAGUUUCGGGUGGUCAAUCGGACUAUUUCAUAUUGUUUGGAAUUGCAGAAAAUUGUUGAUCUGUGUUGCAGAGAAAUGGCCUUCGCGUUCGCGAAGGGUUAGCUGGUGAAGGCUGGAAUUUUAGCUUUCGCGUUUGCGAGGCAGGCUCCGCGUUCGUGAAGGGCUGUGUGAUUGGUCAUCGGGUUCGCGUGAAGUAGACCGCGUUCGCGUAAGAGGAAUUGGACAGCUGAGCUUCAGGGUGUUUAUUCAUCUCGUUCGUGAGAGAGGCUACGCGAUCGCAAAGGGUUAGUCUAAGGAAGCAUCGCGUUCGCGAGUGGCAGGACGCAAUCGCGAAGAAGGAUUUAUGGUCAAAGCUGGAUUGUGCUUCGCGACCGCGAGGCUUUGACCGCAUUCGCGAAGAAGGUUUUUGAUGCCUAGUCAGAAUGUUUAAAUAGCCAUUCUCCGCGAUUUUGGGGCUAACUUUCACCAUUUUGGGCGAUUUCGGAGCUUUUUGAGAGGAUUUAAAGAGUGAUUCAAGAGAUAACACCUGGAGGUAAGCUUUUUGAACUAAAUACUCGAUUUUUGUGUGAAUUCUACCUAAUUAAUCAUGGAAAUUAAGCCUAAAAUUGAGGAAUUAGGGCUUGAAUUUGGAAAGUGUAAAUUGGGGAUUUGAAGGGGCAAUUGAGGUCUGAUUUUGAGAUUCUUGGUAUGUAUAGACUCGUGAAAGGAUAGGAACCUAUUGAUGUAAAAUAUAUCGAAAUAUGAGACGUGGGCUCGGUGGACGGGUUUGAGCAAUUUCGGGAUUUUUGAUGUAAAUUGGAUAUUUUCGAAUGAGCUUUGUUCCCUUAGCAUAUUUUAAUGGUUAUGUACUGAUUAUGGCUACAUUUGGAGCAUUCGGAGGUCGAUAAGUGAGGGCAAAGGCAUCGCGGGCUAGAGUUUGGACCGGAUCAAGGUACGUAAUGAUUGUAAAUACUAUCUUGAGGGUUUGAAACCCCGAAUUUCACAUCGUUGUGCUAUUUUGAGGUGAUGCAAAUGCUAGAUGACGAGCGUGGAGUCGUGCACCGUUGGGGAUUGUGACUUGGUCUGUCCCGUACGACUGUCAAGUCGCGUAUCUGAUUUGAAAUCUUAUGAUAUUCCAUAUUUUAGAGAUUGAUAUUAUAUUUUGGUAUGUAUGCCAUGUUUGGGGCUUUGUGCCGACCUGUUGAGACCGUUAGGGGCAUUUUCACUACUUUUCCUCACACUAUUUGUUUUGAAAGAAUAUCCUUAGUCAUGUUUUACUUGUUAUCGUUUAAUUCNNNNNNNNNNNNNNNNAUGGUCCAGCAAUCAUGGCAUACUUGGAAAAGCAUUUACCCUCUUUGUGCAAACUUUUAUUUUGAUCGAAUUUUUUAUUUUAUAUAUUUUACUUUUACUUUUACCAAAAAAAAAUUAUAUUAGUUAAAGGUGUGUAUAUAACAGCCAAGCAAAUUCCACAUCCAUAAAUUACGUUAGUGAAUAGUGAUGUUGCCUUUAAAUCUUACUAGCAUAUUUUUAUGCGGUACGAAUCUAGGCCUAAAGUGGACAUCUCACUAGUUAUUCCACACCAAUAGAAAACGAGAGAGAUAUUGCUAGUUUUAAAUCUCAAUGGUGCAUUUUAAAACCGUACAUGCCUAAAGUAUAUAAUAUUACUAGUAGGUAUGGUAGUUGAUGUAUGACGAAAAUAAAUGACAUAAAGAUGAAUGCAAAUGUAGGUGCACCACCAUCGCCAUCGAAAGCUCGUCAAUAAUUAUUUUACUAUUAUGAAACAAAGCACUUAAAAUCAAUCCUUAAGUUUUCUAAAAAAAAAAGGAAGUUAUUCAUUAUAAUUUUUAAUCUUAUCUUCUCCUCGUUUAGUUGCAAAAAGUGAUUCUGUGCUGGAACAGGACCUAAUAGACAUGUUUCAGUGAAGCUGAUGGUUCCUCUCUAUCAAGUGUGGAUACCAAAAGACCGGUUUGAUUUUGUAACGUGCACAAUUUUGCCGGGAGAAAUUCAAAAAUAGCCAUAUUUACAAGUGGUCAUUCAAAAAUAGCCAUAGUUUCUAAAGUUGUCGAAAUUUAGCCAUUUUCAUAAAGAUAAAUCUGAACAAAAACACUGAUAUACUGAAAUUCUAGUAUAAUAUACUGGAGUUACCUGUCUUUGUUGCAGCAAAAUAGUGGCUAUUUUUCAAUAACUUAAGAAGCGUUGGCAAUUUUUUGAAUGACCAGUCCGAAAAGUGGCUAUAUACUGAGUUUCAGUAUUAGACCGGUCUCUGUUGCAGCAAAAUAGUAGCUAUUUUUUAAUGACUUUGCAAAUACUGGCUAUUUUUGAAUGACCAGUCCGAAAACUGGCUAGCCCGUAAUAUUUUGAAAAUUUUGCCAAGAGUAGAGAGGCCCAACGGACUUCACAUCUACUAAGCCCGUUAUAAUUUUUAAUUUUUUGCAAAAAGUAAUUGUGUAUUGGAAUAGAACCUAGUAGGCACGUUUUAGCGAAAUCGAUGGUUGCUCUCCAUUAGGCACAGGACCAGUUAAGACCCGGCAACCUCAGGGCCCUCGAGCUUGACCCCGGAAAUCCAUUUGAUUUUGUAAUGCUAACAACUCAUAUAGAGUUGUGACGCGCUCAAUUUUGCCGAGUAGAGAGGCCAACGGGCUUCACAUAUACUAAGUCCAUUAUCCAACAUCCAACCACUUUAUUGCCCCACUUGGUUACAAGCCCACGUUACAAGGCUCGGC
rnacentral:lncRNA from 1 species